rnacentral:rRNA from 1 species
UACGUAGGGGGCAAGCGUUGUCCGGAAUCAUUGGGCGUAAAGCGCGUGUAGGCGGUUCGGUAGGUCGGCUGUGAAAGUCCAGGGCUCAACCCUGGGAUGCCGGUCGAUACUGCCGGACUAGAGUUCGGAAGAGGCGAGUGGAAUUCCCGGUGUAGCGGUGAAAUGCGCAGAUAUCGGGAGGAACACCAAUGGCGAAGGCAGCUCGCUGGGACGUUACUGACGCUGAGACGCGAAAGCGUGGGGAGCAAACAGG